CAGCAGGGGUGGGGAUGGUGGGGUUGUCAUGCGUUUAGACUUUUACUAAUUGUCCCGGUUUUCAUUUGACACGUCAUUCCCAUCCUCAGCUGUGUUAACUGUGACUAGGAUCGGGUGUUCUAGAAUUCAUACUAGUCCCACCCACUCUGCAUAUUGAUGGCCUUCUCAGCCCACUUGGGCCAAGAUUUGGCCAUGCCAGGCUGCCCUCCACAUGUACGCCCGCCCUCUGAACCCUGCUUGGGCUCUGAAACAAUGCUCCAGGCCACCCCAUGGCAUGGAUACCCUAUAUGCCCCACCCACACUCUGACACUCUAUGCCAGGCUGCCCCCGACCACAUGGGUGAGCUACUGACACCUCAGGAUCUGACAUCAAACACUAGCCCACCCUCCUUCCCCGGUUUGAGCUCUGACACCCCAGGCCAGGCUACCCAUUGGCAGUAGUGUCCUCAGCUGGCUUGGCCUUUGACAGCCACACUGGGCCCCACCCCUGACAUGGCUGGCCUCACCUCGCUCACCAUGCCGACCCCCAGUGGGUGCCUUUCCCCCACACACACACCCUUUUUUUUGAGACGGAGUUUCACUCUUGUCACCCAGGCUGGAGUGCAGUGGCGCAAUCUUGGCUCACUGCAACCUCCACCUCUCAGAUUCAAGCGAUUCUCCUGCCUUAGCCUCCAGAGUAGCUGGGAUUACAGGCGUGCACCACAACGCCCAGCUAAUUUUUGUAUUUUUAGUAGAGACGGGGUUUUGCUAUGUUGGCCAGGCUGGUCUCAAACUCCUGACCUCAUCAGGUGAUCCACCUGCCUCGGAGUGCUGGGAUUACAGGCAUGAGCCAUUGCUCCCGGCCGCCUUCUCCUUUUAUCUCAGGUUUGGAAACCUGCAGGAGGCCACCCCACACCCCUGGCAAACACCCUCCUUACUCCACUUGGGCUCUGGCUUUGCAUGCCGAGCGGCCCCUGUGUAGAUGCCCUCAUGACCCGGCUCAUGUCUGACACCGUCUUGCCAGGCUGCCUCUUCAGGGAGAUGCUGACUCCCUAGCUCCGCCUCUGACUCUCCAGGACAAGCUGGUCCCCACGUGGACAUCCUACUGGCUGCACUUGGACUCUGAGUCCCUCUGCCUGGCUGCCUCCGGCAUGGAUGUCUUCCUCACUCUGCUUGGGUUCUAGACCUCACAUCAGGCUGCCCCUC
rnacentral:lncRNA from 1 species